rnacentral:rRNA from 1 species
AUUGAACGCUGGCGGCAGGCCUAACACAUGCAAGUCGAGCGAGCGGCGGACGGGUGAGUAAUGUAUGGGGACUGCCCGAUAGAGGGGGAUAACUACUGGAAACGGUGGCUAAUACCGCAUACCGUCGGAAAACCCAUAUGGGGUUAGCUAGUAGGUAAGGUAAUGGCGUACCUAGGAGACGAUCCCUAGCUGGUCUGAGAGGAUGAUCAGCCAAAAUGGGACUGGGACCCGGCCCAGACUCCUACGGAGGCAGCAGGGGGGAAUCUUUCGCAAUGGACGAAAGUCUGACGGAGCAACGCCGCAGGAGUGAUGACGGCCUUCGGGUUGUAAAGCUCUGUUAAUCGGGAGACGGUACCGGAAUAGAAAGCCACGGCUAAUUACGUGCCAGCAGCCGCGGUAAUAC